rnacentral:rRNA from 1 species
GUAAGGAAUAUUGGACAAUGGGGGAAACCCUGAUCCAGCCAUGCCGCGUGAGUGAAGAAGGCCUUCGGGUUGUAAAACUCUUUCAGAUGUGAAGAUGAUGACGGUAACAUCAGAAGAAGCUCCGGCUAACUUCGUGCCAGCAGCCGCGGUAAUACGAAGGGAGCGAGCGUUGUUCGGAAUCACUGGGCGUAAAGAGUGCGUAGGCGGUUAUACAAGUCAGGAGUGAAAUCCCAGAGCUUAACUUUGGAAUUGCUUUUGAAACUGUAUAGCUAGAGUCCCGGAGGGGUUAAUGGAAUUCCGAGUGUAGAGGUGAAAUUCGCAGAUAUUCGGAGGAACACCAGUGGCGAAGGCGAUUAACUGGACGGGCACUGACGCUGAGGCACGAAAGCGUGGGGAUCAAACAGGAUUAGAAACCCUGGUAGUCC